GCCUCACUCAACUUGGGUUUGAUGUGUUUCGAUAGCAUCACAACCUCUUUGAGUGAGCUA
rnacentral:pre_miRNA from 1 species